UUGUGAGGUUAAGCGACUAAGCGUACACGGUGGAUGCCCUGGCAGUCAGAGGCGAUGAAGGACGUGCUAAUCUGCGAUAAGCGUCGGUGAGGUGAUAUGAACCGUUAUAACCGGCGAUUUCCGAAUGGGGAAACCCAGUGUGUUUCGACACACUAUCAUUAACUGAAUCCAUAGGUUAAUGAGGCGAACCGGGGGAACUGAAACAUCUAAGUACCCCGAGGAAAAGAAAUCAACCGAGAUUCCCCCAGUAGCGGCGAGCGAACGGGGAGGAGCCCAGAGCCUGAAUCAGUGUGUGUGUUAGUGGAAGCGUCUGGAAAGGCGCGCGAUACAGGGUGACAGCCCCGUACACAAAAAUGCACAUAUUGUGAGCUCGAUGAGUAGGGCGGGACACGUGGUAUCCUGUCUGAAUAUGGGGGGACCAUCCUCCAAGGCUAAAUACUCCUGACUGACCGAUAGUGAACCAGUACCGUGAGGGAAAGGCGAAAAGAACCCCGGCGAGGGGAGUGAAAAAGAACCUGAAACCGUGUACGUACAAGCAGUGGGAGCCUCUUAAUGGGGUGACUGCGUACCUUUUGUAUAAUGGGUCAGCGACUUAUAUUCUGUAGCAAGGUUAACCGAAUAGGGGAGCCGAAGGGAAACCGAGUCUUAACUGGGCGUUAAGUUGCAGGGUAUAGACCCGAAACCCGGUGAUCUAGCCAUGGGCAGGUUGAAGGUUGGGUAACACUAACUGGAGGACCGAACCGACUAAUGUUGAAAAAUUAGCGGAUGACUUGUGGCUGGGGGUGAAAGGCCAAUCAAACCGGGAGAUAGCUGGUUCUCCCCGAAAGCUAUUUAGGUAGCGCCUCGUGAAUUCAUCUCCGGGGGUAGAGCACUGUUUCGGCAAGGGGGUCAUCCCGACUUACCAACCCGAUGCAAACUGCGAAUACCGGAGAAUGUUAUCACGGGAGACACACGGCGGGUGCUAACGUCCGUCGUGA
rnacentral:rRNA from 1 species